rnacentral:rRNA from 1 species
AUUGAACGCUGGCGGCAGGCUUAACACAUGCAAGUCGAACGAGUGGCGGAUGGGUGAGUAAUGCAUGGGAAUCUAGCUUAUGGAGGGGAAUAACUAGGGGAAACUGCAGCUAAUACAGCGUACCAAAGGAUGAGCCAAAUUGGGAAUAGGUAGUUGGUGAGGUAAAGGCUCACCAAGUGGACGAGCUCUAGCUGGUCUGAGAGGAUGAACAUCCAAUCUGGGCCUGAGACACGGCCCAGACUCCUACGGGAGGCAGCAGUGGGGAAUAUUGCGCAAUGAGGGCAACCUGACGCGGCCAUGCCGCGUGAAUGAAUAAGGCCUUCGGGUUGUAGAGUUUUUUCGGUAGCGAGGCGUUAACUACAGAAGAAGCACCGGCUAACUCCGUGCCAGCCGCCGCGGUAAUUC